GAUGAAGAACGCAGCGAAAUGCGAUACGUAAUGUGAAUUGCAAAUUCAGUGAAUCAUCGAGUCUUUGAACGCACAUUGCGCCCCCUGGUAUUCCGGGGGGCAUGCCUGUCCGAGCGUCAUUGCAGCCCUCAAGCACGGCUUGUGUGUUGGGCCCCGUCCUCCGAUCCCGGGGGACGGGCCCGAAAGGCAGCGGCGGCACCGCGUCCGGUCCUCGAGCGUAUGGGGCUUUGUCACCCGCUCUGUAGGCCCGGCCGGCGCUUGCCGAUCAACCCAAAUUUUUAUCCAGGUUGACCUCGGAUCAGGUAGGGAUACCCGCUGAACUUAAGCAUAUCAAUAAGCGGAGGA
rnacentral:misc_RNA from 1 species